rnacentral:lncRNA from 1 species
AUUGGUUAUGUAUAUUUAAUUACUUUAUUCAAUUAUUUAUUUUAAAACCUAUUCAAAUAAAAAUUAAUAUUUAAUUUAAUUUCUUCUUUAAAUAUUUCAUUAAUUAAUUAUCUUAAUUGGUUAUGUACAUUGUUUAUUUAAUAUUUCUUUACUUUAAUUAAUUAUUUAUUUAAUCACUUAUUCGAAUACAAAAUUAAUACUAAAUUUAAUUUAUUCUUCAAAUAUCUCAUUAAUUAAUUAUCUUAAUUGGUUACAUAUAUUAUUUAUUUAAUAUUUAACUAGAACAUAAAUUACAUGAUGCAUGAGAAUAUCUAACAGAGAUGGAAGUCGAAUAUUAGGCACGAUCACAUUUUCAAAACAUCGAACAUUAUUCAAGAAUGUCGAAAAUAUAUUUCUUCUACUAAAUGAAGUCAAGUGGGAAGUUUUCGAUUAUAGUAUGUUACUCUCUACCCAACGGAUGUGUAGUAUCUAUUUAAACCGUAUGUACUCUCUAUUUAUAGUAUAUUAUUGGUUUCCUCAAUUUUCUCUAUUUAUAGUAUGUUAUUGAUUACGUGAAAAUUGACCCGAUGAAUAUGUAAUAUCUACUUAAAUUGUAUGUACUCUCUAUUUAUAAUAUGUCAC